CAAAAUAUUUACUAUCUGGCCCUUUACAGAAAAAGUUUGUCAACCCCUUACCAAAAGGAAAAUAAUAACCUGCUUCUGUCAUUUGUGCUUAACCUAAUUCAAAUAUUCAGCUUUGUCAUGCGUGUCCUUUUCCUCUUGCAGAUGUUUCUGUCAUGGGUAAUAUAUUAUUAGUUGUCAACAUAAAUAAUGAACCUUUUCAAGCGAUAGGUUGCUAACACGUGUUUCAUCAGCCACUACUACAGUUCAGUGAUAAGGUACUGAGAGCUGGUGGAAAGAAAUUCUCCUGCCCAUCUGCCCAGCCUAGAAGAGGAGACAGGAAAGUGGAGAUCCAGAGGCCAAAAGUAAACUACUGGGAUCAAAAGAUUCCUGGCAUAUUGACCAAAAUGCCAUUCAGAGAUCAUAAAGCCAGGAUCAGGAAGCUGUAGAAGCCACCACCACAACUGUCUCAUCACUGAAUUGUACUAUCUGGCUGCCACUGCUGCAGUGGAUUCUCAACACCAUAGAGACUGAAGCCGAAAUGUCACUAGCAGUACAUACUGCGUAGCAUCAGGAAGAGGGACCUUGCCGCUUUUCUCCACGGUCUUGUUUGAAGCUGCUGGAGGAUAUGUUCCACCAAAAUAAAGAAACAAACCAUGAAAAAGGAAGACAUUGGAUGCAGGGAACAAGAGGUUUACAGAGAGAGACAAAGGAAUUUUCAGCAUGAUAUCAAGGAACAGAUCCAGGACAACGAUUCUAUAGCUUCGUUAGAGGACUGCUUUAUUUUAUUAUUUUAUUCUAUUCUAUUCUAUAUUUUAUUUUAUUUUUUAUUUUAUUUUAUAUUUUUUG
rnacentral:lncRNA from 1 species